GCCGAGGUGGCGGAAUUGGUAGACGCGCAUGGUUCAGGUCCAUGUGGGGGUACACCCCGUGGAGGUUCAAGUCCUCUCCUCGGCACCA
rnacentral:tRNA from 1 species